rnacentral:tRNA from 1 species
GCGGAUGUAGCUCAAUGGUAGAGCCUCAGCCUUCCAAGCUGAUUACGCGGGUUCGAUUCCCGUCAUCCGCUCCA